UAGGGAAUAUUGCGCAAUGGAGGAAACUCUGACGCAGCGACGCCGCGUGCGGGAUGAAGGCCUUCGGGUUGUAAACCGCUUUCAGUAGGGAAGAAGCGAAAGUGACGGUACCUACAAAAGAAGCACCGGCUAACUAUGUG
rnacentral:rRNA from 1 species